CGAGUGAAGCGGCAACAGCUCAAAUUUGAAAUCUGGCCCCCGGGUCCGAGUUGUAAUUUGUAGAGGAUGCUUUUGGUGCGGUACCUUCCGAGUUCCCUGGAACGGGACGCCAUAGAGGGUGAGAGCCCCGUCUGGUUGGACGCCAAUCCUUUGUAAAGCUCCUUCAACGAGUCGAGUAGUUUGGGAAUGCUGCUCUAAAUGGGAGGUAUAUGUCUUCUAAAGCUAAAUAUUGGCCAGAGACCGAUAGCGCACAAGUAGAGUGAUCGAAAGAUGAAAAGCACUUUGAAAAGAGAGUUAAAAAGUACGUGAAAUUGUUGAAAGGGAAGCGCUCAUGACCAGACUUGGGCUUGGUUGAUCAUCCAGGGUUCUCCCUGGUGCACUCUUCCGGCCCAGGCCAGCAUCAGUUCGCUGUGGGGGAUAAAGGCUUCGGGAAUGUGGCUCCCUCGGGAGUGUUAUAGCCCGUUGUGUAAUACCCUGUGGUGGACUGAGGUUCGCGCAUUCGCAAGGAUGCUGGCGUAAUGGUCAUCAGCGACCCGUCUUGAAACACGGACCAAGGAGUCGUCUUCGUAUGCGAGUGUUCGGGUGUCAAACCCCUACGCGUAAUGAAAGUGAACGCAGGUGAGAGCUUCGGCGCAUCAUCGACCGAUCCUGAUGUUCUCGGAUGGAUUUGAGUAAGAGCAUACGGGGCCGGACCCGAAAGAAGGUGAACUAUGCCUGUAUAGGGUGAAGCCAGAGGAAACUCUGGUGGAGGCUCGCAGCGGUUCUGACGUGCAAAUCGAUCGUCAAAUAUGGGCAUGGGGGCG
rnacentral:rRNA from 2 species